rnacentral:lncRNA from 1 species
GGAAAUCCCUUUGGCUUAAAGGUGCCGAUGUCACCAAACUAGAAGGCAGACUACAAUCCGGAUCUUUGUUUAGCUAACAUCACCAUGACCUUUCAGGAAUGCAAAAAAUCAGGCUCUUAGUCCAUCCCUCUGAGAGCAGUUUCACUGUGGAGCAGCUUCCUGGGCAGAGGGGACAAAUUUGUACCAGACUUCUGAAGGAUGUGUUGCUCAUCCCCCCUCCCCGGGCUUGUACCUCAUGGUUCCGUGAGUCAGAAAGGCACCUGGGCUGGGGCUGGCCAGGCAGGAUGGACACUUUCAUUGCCCCUUCACACCCGCUCUGGGGGAACCGGCAGCAGAACCCAGCAGUGGCAGCCCAAAGCUAUUUACCAAGGAGGCCCGGUCUGAUCAUUAACCUUCAUGAGGACACUGAAGGUCAGCUGUGGCCAGUCCUCUCUCUUUCAACAGGCAGAAAAGCACACAUAUUCGACCUUCCACGCUUUGCAGAAUGGUGGGUAUGAAUCCAAAUUAGAUGGCCCAGAAAUGCCAAAAACUUAUUUAUGUGUCUAUCUGUCUGUGUUGUCCGACUGUACCAAUUCAGCAAUUCAAAAGGAAAAGCCUCAAAGAUGAAAAGCUUAAGUAGCUGGAGUAGGGACUCUCUCACCGAUGACAUGGACUUUGCGUUCCACCCAUUAAUCUCUAAUUUUCAAUAAAUUUGUCAAACUUAUCUCUUACCCAGCAUUUCUUUCAACAGAUUCAACAAUAACUUCAUCUCAGCGUACUUGGUAAGGAAGCUCUGAAGUGUUUGACCUAGAAAUGACACAAAGUGUUAGGUGGAAGAUUCUCUUGCCUCUUAGGACGUAGCACAAGAGCGUGUCAAGCUGAGGUCAACUCUGUAUCAAGAGACAGAAACCAAGAUGACUCAAAAGCCCUUGAAAAAGAGGCAGUCUCCUCUUAGAGAACUGCGUGUUUUCAUACAGCCUGUGCAGAGGGAGAGCUGUGAUUAAGGACCUGUAUUUUUUAUUUGCAGACUUUCAGUUCUGCUCUAAUUUGGCUGAAACCAUGGGUUCCGAGUUUCAUUUCCAAACGGCCAGCUUCCGGGCACGCCUUGCGGUCCCGACCAGCUACGCGGUGGCCCACGGGGCCCUGUGGUGUCUCCUGUGAGAAGGGUGGGAGCUCCCCGGGCCGGAGGAGCGACCCCCCACGGGGUCCGUGCUCACCCCACAUCCGGAGGUAGCCGGGUUCCACACCGAAUGCAGAAGUUGUAGUGGGAGAAGACGCCAUCUCGACUGCACAUGGAAUUGUGGUCUGGAGUCUGAGUGACAAUCAGAAGAUUCAGGGGAACUCGAAAGGGACCAGAUGCUUUUAGGUCAGAGAUUUAAAAUUCGGAAAGCAAAAGAAAAGAGAGAGGGGAGAGAAGAGGAGGAAGGAACUUGCAAGUGUUGCUGCAUCUUGAGAAAGGGGGAACAGGACAUGAUAGCCUUCGCUGCUCCCCUCAGUGCUGCUAAUUCAGGACCAAUUCCCUGCCAAGCAGAAGCAGGAAGCUGCUUGGAGAAAGGGCUGGGCGCCCCGGGCUGCUCCCCACGCUCCCCGUGGGUCUGUCUCAUCUGCCGCCCCCGCUCGCUCUCCAGCAGGUCUGCGGCUCACGAGGACACUCGUUAUUCCUCAGCUACACGCCAAGAGGGAUCUAGAACACUUUGGAAAAAGAACACAAAAGCCCUGGGUCUGCUGAGCAGCCUGUGAUCCGAUUAUCUGGCUUUGCCGAGGGCCGAGGGGGAGUGCUGUUUAUCUGGUCAGGGGUCGCGGUGGCAUCUCAAAGCCGCCCGGCCCCAUCCUGGGAGAAGGGCCAGCAGCAGGAGCCGCGGCAUCCAGACAGCUCCCGAGCAGAGCAGCCCACCCGGGGACACCGUCUCCUUCCGAGGGCAGGCCGAAGGGCAGGCACAGGCGCUCCGGAAGCAGGGAGAGCAUGCGGGGCGGGGCGGGGAGGGGAUUUCAGAGCUCACGGGCCGUCCUCCUCCCUCUGAAGUGUCCUGUCGGCGGGAACCAGCCUGGGGACUUCACAGCGAUGUCUGAUGUCUCUCCUCAUCGACUGCUUUCCUCCACCAGUGGACUCCACCCCUCACCGCUCUCCCAUUGGCCCUCGCUGCCUCUCGGUCUUGCCCGCCCUUCCCGUCAGGAUGUGCCAACCAUUCUUCCACUUGGACCCGGGCCUCCCACGAGACAGAUACCCCUUGCUUUCUUCUCCGAUUCUCUUUUCUCUGACACAGGCUAAAUGGCUUGGGCCACUCUUCUAAUUAGCAAUGAUCGCGCCUCAGAUAAACCUCAUUGGCUGUGCUGCUGCCACUGGGAAAACCUGGAGGCACUCGCUCUCUUAGACGUACAGUUUUACCCAGUGGUCAGAGGGCUAUCACAGAAGAUUCUUCAGGACACUUUCCUUUGGGAGGCGUAAGAGGAGCACAGUAGAAAUUACGCUGGGCCUUUGCGUGUGCAUGAUUCGUCUGCAUGGCCCAAAUGUGAACCACGCAAUGCUCCCAGUGUGACGCAUCCUGGCAGUAACUGGCAGCGUGAAUGGAGAGCCGAGUAAAUGCCCCUCCCAGGUACAGAGGAAGGCUCUGAGAGGGCACAUUUUGUCCCUUGGGUGGCGUCUCUGUUGGCUGGGUGAUACUCGAGUGGCUUGCUGAUGUUUCCAAGACAUGAGAACUGGUUUUGACCAGUGAGGAACUUUCCUUAGGGCUACGUGAGUCGCAGGUUGUCACAGAGUAAAGUGAGCACUGAUUUAUGGAGGGUCGAGGGCCCCAACGUAGAGGCUGUAAAUCACUCCGGAGUUUGUUUUCUUCACUUACACAGUGGUUUCUGGUGAAACUUGGAGCUUUUUGUAGCUAACGGCAUUUCAACUUUGUCCCGAUGGAAAAGGUGGCCGACAAGAGGUGGUAGCAUUUCAGACGCGUUCAUCAGCCUGUGCUGCACAAGGUAAAAAUAGGGGGAAACGGAAUGGACGCUCGUCUCACUCAUUGAACGAAACUCUCCCCCAAGUAGGUCCUGUCAUUUGCAGCUUUCAGGCGGACAGGCUGAGUAACAGACUCCAGCGGACAGGACGGAGACCCGCGGCUGGCCAGGGCCUCAGGCUGCGCUGCCCAGAGUCCGCCUUGGCCUGUGCGGGAGAACUGGCUGGGCCUCAAGUGAGGCUCCGCUCUCCUGGGGCCUCCGCAGGGCAUUUUCACGCUCUUCUGGUGCGAGCGGCUGUCAGCUCCCAGGAAUCCAGACCUACCAUUGAUGAGAGUUCGUGCAUCAAAACACCCAAGCGUUUCCCUUCCUACGGUCGCCUCGGUUCAGAUGCAUGGAGCGCAUAAGCCCAGCUCACAGUCCAGCACCUUCCGGCAGUUUGCUCUGAGGAGCUGCAGCUGUCCUUCCAGGGAGCGCAGGUGCCGGCCUCGGGUAACUCACAGCAGCGACGACAGCGGUCUGCACGUGUGUCAAAGUGGCUGGAGGUGGUGACCGGAAACUACCCGGGGACAUUUAUCCCCGGGAGAAGUCAGGAGGGCUGGCUCAGGUCCUUUGCCAAAGACAAUGCUGGUAGAAACAGAAUUCCAGGAGUCUGAGGGUUGAAUGAGAGGGGCUUUCCUAGGAGCCCAGACUCCUUCUGCCAGACCCCAGGAGUUGUUGACAAGAGCCAUAGCUGAAGACCCCAGAGCCAAAGCCUGCAUCAGCAAAUCUCCUCUGCUUAUCUGAAGAGCAAGACCCACAGGAUUACGCAGGAGAAAACAAUGUCAGAGCAGAAUUCACGGCCUGGUGAAGAAAGAAUCCGUGUUUCUUCCUUUGGAAUCUCUGCAAGAAAGCUCCUCAUAGAAAACUGAUUUCAGUAUGGUACAGUUUGCCUUAGUUCUCACUAAGGCUUUUCGUCCAUCGGAGGGCAUGGUAACAGUGACUGCGGUGAGAUCCAUCGGGUGCACGAUGUAAGUGCAGUAUGAAGGCGCUGCUGGCAGAUCUAGGCAGGAAGCGUGGCGUGCUGCGGCAGCAGGCAACUGCUCCCACACUGAGGGCCCGGCGCAGGUACUGACCCCACCAUGUGUGGCCCUGAGGGCAGCAGAGCACCUUCGUGCCCAGGGCCUUCGAAACUGCGCCUCUUCGUCACAUGUACUCCCUUGUCUCCAGCUCCGAGCAACGUAGACCCUGAGGGCCGCAGCUGUGCGCAGGACUCCGCCUUCCAGUACAGUUUCCAGGCCAGGUUUCUGCCUCUUUCUCACUAAACCAAGUCGGACCCACAAUGCCACACUCUCGAGAAAGCUUCCAAGCGUGGAGGACUCAAACUGCUGAUACCCGAACUGAUCUAAAUUUAACCUCAGGUAUCUUUGCCUUGUUAGAAUGGAGGCAGUUAGAGCGGGGAUAUAUUUGUUUUCGAGGCGAAAAGAUGAGAUUGACUUAAAUAGGAUGCACGAUGUAUUACUGAAAUCGUUUGAAAGGAGAACUGAUCUGAAAUAAGAUAUUCGGUGCUAUUUUCAGAUGAGGCCAGGAAACAGUGCUACUAUUAGAAAAUACAGUUUCUGACAGUGGAAGUACUUUCUUUUGUGAAAAAGACUAUGAAUAAAUUUAACAAGGAAACUAUAUUCAAAUAGAGCUUCUAACAUCCAACACAUUGUAUAAAUUCAUUAAUAAUAAAUAUAAACAAUAAAGAAAAAUACCAUUGAGAAUAAACUGCAAGGAAGAAACUGGUCCUAUGAAACAUCUUUCCAUGCCAUAAUAAUUGAUUAGUGUAAUAUCUUUUCAAGCUGUACCGCUCAGAAGUAUUUUAAAUAUUAUUUGACUAUAUAUGUAAUGUAUAUAUAUGUGUGUAUGUGUGUGUGCAUGUACUAUUCUUAGCUAAAUAUACACUAUUUUACUCAAGUGAAAUAUGAUAUCUGUCAUUUUUGUAACUAACUUAGAUUCAGUGUGGACUCCUCCAGGAUGUUCUCAUACAAUCAAACAAUUUGAUGUCAUAUUCUUUGCUUCAAUAUAAU